AUCCUACGGGGCGCAGCAGUGAGGAAUAUUGGUCAAUGGCCGAGAGGCUGAACCAGCCAAGUCGCGUGAGGGAAGACGGCCCUACGGGUUGUAAACCUCUUUUGUCGGGGAGCAAAGCGAGUCACGUGUGACUCAUUGAGAGUACCCGAAGAAAGAGCAUCGGCUAACUCCGUGCCAGCAGCCGCGGUAAUACGGAGGAUGCGAGCGUUAUCCGGAUUUAUUGGGUUUAAAGGGUGCGCAGGCGGCGGUGCAAGUCAGCGGUCAAAUUGCGGGGCUCAACCCCGUACUGCUGUUGAAACUGCAUC
rnacentral:rRNA from 1 species